rnacentral:siRNA from 1 species
CUAGCAGCCCGAUUCUUAGCC